rnacentral:rRNA from 1 species
AUGCAAGUAGCGAAUUUAACUUGGUGCAAGCUGGAAGGGGAAGGAAAGUUGCACUUGGAACAAAACUGGAUUCGCGAAAGAUUACCAAAAGGGAUUCUCCAAAUGGCUUUGGUGGAGAUACUUCUUCAGCACAAUACUCCUUAUCACCGAGGGCGGAAUGGAUGGAAUGGUGAAAUUUGGAAUAUGAUGGUUGGAAUAUUCCAUGCUAGACAUAGUUAUGUCAAAUUCACAAAGUCCCAAGUUCAAGAGAAGGAAAAGGAAUUGAAGAGAGACUAUAAAAUGCUAAAGGAGGCACAUAAACAAAGUGGAGUUAAUUGGGAUGAAAUUAGGUGCAUGAUACAAACUGAUGAACAUCUUUGGGAUGAGUUGACGAUUUCAUUUGGUUCGAGGAUCAAUAAGUUCAAGUCCAAACCUUUUCCUCUCUUCAACUUACGAGGAGAUCUCUAUGAUGUUCUCAUUUUUCAGGGCCGUUAUAACUUGACAACCACUACUGAGCCUGAAGGAAAUAUGCCUUGGAGGAAAUAA